AUGGCUCUCCACCUCCGGCCUCUCCUCCUUCUCCUCUUCCCUAUUGCUACCAUCACGGCGAGUACAUUCCAUGGCUCCAUUGCCGGUGGUACCACGAUCAAUCGAACCGUUAUCGGUCGUGCCACGAGCUAUCGCCCAAUAUCGCCUGGUACAGCUGCUAGGCCCUUGCCUGCACCCCCGGCCAAGGUAACACCUACGACCCCAAGUGCUCAGCCUGCACCCCCGCCCAAGGUAAUACCUACGGCCCCGAGUGCUCUGCCUGCACCUAUUGGGACAACAAGCAUGAAAGUGAAAUCCUCCUCUGUAAGAAGAGUUGUUGCAAUUUUAGCUCCUGUAGUUGGCUUCAUUUUGCUUAGCAUAUUGUUCCUCGGCACCAAUUUUAUACGUAAACGAAGAACACAACGACAAUAUGAGAUGGAGAUGGAGGAAGAGUUUGGGGAGCUACAAGGAACACCAAUGAGGUUCACAUUUCAGCAGCUAAAAGCAGCAACCGAGCAAUUCGCAGACAAGCUCGGGGAAGGAGGAUUUGGGUCUGUUUUCAAGGGUCAAUUUGGUGAUGAAAGGAUUGCAGUAAAACGUUUGGAUCGAGCGGGUCAGGGCAAAACGGAAUUUUCUGCAGAGGUUCAGACAAUUGGCAGCAUUCAUCAUAUUAAUCUGGUGAGAUUGAUUGGUUUCUGUGCAGAGAAAUCGCAUAGGCUCUUGGUAUAUGAGUACAUGCCAAAAGGAUCCCUGGAUAGAUGGAUCUAUCAUCGACAUGACAAUGAUUCACCUCCCCUGAAUUGGAGCACGCGGUACAAGAUUAUCACUCACAUAGCAAAGGGUCUCGCUUAUCUUCAUGAGGAGUGCAUAAAAAAGAUUGCCCAUUUGGAUGUCAAACCACAAAACAUCCUCUUAGAUGAUAACUUCAAUGCUAAACUUUCUGAUUUUGGACUAUGCAAGCUCAUUGACAGGGAUAUGAGCCAAGUGUUUACCAGAAUGAGGGGCACACCUGGAUAUUUAGCUCCCGAAUGGUUGACAUCACAGAUUACGGAAAAGGCCGAUGUCUAUAGCUUUGGUGUUGUGGUCAUGGAAGUCAUCAGCGGAAGAAAGAACCUCGACAAUUCUCGAUCCGAAGAGAGCAUCCAUCUCAUCACCCAAUUGGAGGAAAAGAUUGAUUGCAAAAGAAGGCCUAAAAUGUCCGAGGUAGUCAAGGUCUUGGAAGGUGCCAUGAAUGCGGAGAGCAACAUUGAUCAUAACUUCGUUGCAACAAGUCAAGUGUAUUUCGGCGCUGCUGGAAAUGUGGUCUCAUCGGUUCCACCUCUAGCUUCACAUGUAUCAGGUCCCAGGUGA
rnacentral:rRNA from 1 species